UACGUAGGGUGCGAGCGUUGUCCGGAAUUAUUGGGCGUAAAGGGCUCGUAGGCGGUUUGUCGCGUCGGGAGUGAAAACCCAGGGCUUAACCCUGGGCUGGCUUCCGAUACGGGCAGACUAGAGGUAUGCAGGGGAGAACGGAAUUCCUGGUGUAGCGGUGAAAUGCGCAGAUAUCAGGAAGAACACCAACGGCGAAGGCAGCUCGCUGGGACGGUACUGACGCUGAGACGCGAAAGCGUGGGGAGCGAACAGG
rnacentral:rRNA from 1 species